AUAGACCCUCCUUUUGAAUGAAGACACAAACCUAAGAUUCACAGAUCUACCCACUCUAACUCCGUAUUUAUACAGAGAGCACCAGCCCAUCAUGGUCAUAUCAAACAUCACUGAGCUGUAAAAGUUGCUUGUGUUGUUGAAUUAGGAGCUUUUUAAAGUGAUCUGUGAUCACUGGCUGUUUUUGUGAAACAUAUCUACAACAUGACACACAAACUCUUUCUGGUCAUUGUGCUCUUUCUGGUGGUUGGUGAACUGGUUGGGCAAUCAUCUGCUGAUGAUGGUGUUGUCCUGUCUGAACUAUCCGGUGCCCCAGCAGAGGCACUGGAGGACUUAGCCUAUGAGGGACACUUAGCCUAUGAGGGAAGAGGACGCGGAAGAGGACGGAAACCAAGUGGAGGAGGAGGUUCUUCAGGAGGUUCUUCAGAGGACUGUU